UACUCGAGUGGCGAACGGGUGAGUAACACGUGGGUGAUCUGCCCUGCACUUCGGGAUAAGCCUGGGAAACUGGGUCUAAUACCGGAUAGGAGCCAUUUUUAGUGUGAUGGUUGGAAAGUUUUUUCGGUGUAGGAUGAGCUCGCGGCCUAUCAGCUUGUUGGUGGGGUAAUGGCCUACCAAGGCGGCGACGGGUAGCCGGCCUGAGAGGGUGGACGGCCACAUUGGAACUGAGAUACGGCCCAG
rnacentral:rRNA from 1 species